AUUGAACGCUGGCGGCAUGCCUUACACAUGCAAGUCGAACGGCAGCGGGGACUUCGGUCCGCCGGCGAGUGGCGAACGGGUGAGUAAUGUAUCGGAACGUACCAUUCAGUGGGGGAUAACUAUCCGAAAGGAUAGCUAAUACCGCAUAUUCUGUGAGCAGGAAAGCAGGGGAUCGCAAGACCUUGCGCUGAUUGAGCGGCCGAUGUCAGAUUAGCCAGUUGGUGAGGUAAAGGCUCACCAAGGCGACGAUCUGUAGCGGGUCUGAGAGGAUGAACCGCCACACUGGAACUGAGACACGGUCCAGACUACUACGGGAGGCAGCAGUGGGGAAUUUUGGACAAUGGGGGCAACCCUGAUCCAGCCAUGCCGCGUGAGUGAAGAAGGCCUUCGGGUUGUAAAGCUCUUUCGGCCGGGAAGAAAUCGCACGGGCUAAUACCCUGUGUGGAUGACGGUACCGGAAUAAGAAGCACCGGCUAACUACGUGCCAGCAGCCGCAGUAACAC
rnacentral:rRNA from 1 species